rnacentral:rRNA from 1 species
UGCGUAGGUGGUCGGGUAAGUCUGAUGUGAAAUCUCUGGGCUCAACCCAGAAAUGGCAUUGGAUACUAUUCGGCUGGAGGGUUGGAGGGGGGGACUGGAAUUCUCGGUGUAGCAGUGAAAUGCGUAGAUAUCGAGAGGAACACCAGUGGCGAAGGCGAGUCCCUGGACAACUCCUGACACUAAGGCACGAAAGCUAGGGGAGCAAACA